UGUGUCCCCUUGUUAGUCUGGCUAAGGG
rnacentral:misc_RNA from 1 species